UACGUAGGGUGCAAGCGUUGUCCGGAAUUAUUGGGCGUAAAGAGCUCGUAGGCGGUUUGUCGCGUCGGCUGUGAAAUCCCGAGGCGCAACCUCGGGCCUGCAGUCGAUACGGGCAAACUAGAGUGCGGUAGGGGAGACUGGAAUUCCUGGUGUAGCGGUGAAAUGCGCAGAUAUCAGGAGGAACACCGAUGGCGAAGGCAGGUCACUGGGCCGCAACUGACGCUGAGGAGCGAAAGCAUGGGGAGCGAACAGG
rnacentral:rRNA from 1 species